rnacentral:rRNA from 1 species
UCUUUAACAUUGAGCUGUGAUGGGGAGCGAAAUUAAGUAGCGAAGUUAGUGACGUCACACUGCCAAGAAAAGCUUCUAGCGAUAAGUAUACACUACCCGUACCGCAAACCGACACAGGUAGUCGAGGCGAGUAGCCUCAGGUGAGCGAGAGAACUCUCGUUAAGGAACUCGGCAAAAUGACCCCGUAACUUCGGGAGAAGGGGUGCUCAGUUAGACUGAGCCGCAGUGAAUAGGCCCAAGCAACUGUUUAUCAAAAACACAGCUCUCUGCUAAAUCGUAAGAUGAUGUAUAGGGGGUGACGCCUGCCCGGUGCUGGAAGGUUAAGAGGAGGGUUUAGCGUAAGCGAAGAUCUGAAUUGAAGCCCCAGUAAACGGCGGCCGUAACUAUAACGGUCCUAAGGUAGCGAAAUUCCUUGUCGGGUAAGUUCCGACCCGCACGAAAGGCGUAAUGAUUUGGGCACUGUCUCAACGAGAGACUCGGUGAAAUUUUAGUACCUGUGAAGAUGCAGGUUACCCGCGACAGGACGGAAAGACCCCAUGGAGCUUUACUGCAGUUUGAUAUUGAGUAUCUGUACCACAUGUACAGGAUAGGUAGGAGCCUAUGAAAUCGGGACGCCAGUUUCGAUUGAGGCGCUGUUGGGAUACUACCCUUGUGUUAUGGCUACUCUAACCCGGUAGGUUCAUCAUCUACGGAGACAGUGUCUGACGGGCAGUUUGACUGGGGCGGUCGCCUCCUAAAAGGUAACGGAGGCGCCCAAAGGUUCCCUCAGAAUGGUUGGAAAUCAUUCGCAGAGUGUAAAGGUAUAAGGGAGCUUGACUGCGAGAGCUACAACUCGAGCAGGGACGAAAGUCGGGCUUAGUGAUCCGGUGGUUCCGCAUGGAAGGGCCAUCGCUCAACGGAUAAAAGCUACCCUGGGGAUAACAGGCUUAUCUCCCCCAAGAGUUCACAUCGACGGGGAGGUUUGGCACCUCGAUGUCGGCUCGUC